UCACAAGAAUUGACAUCAAACUCAAUGUGUAAGUUAAAUUUACAGUACUGUAAAGUUACUCAGAUUUAAGGACAAAUGUGGGAAAAUAUUAACAGGUGAAAAAUUCGGCCUUUUGACGCUACCAUUAAGAUCAUGUCAAAUUCAUAAGCAGAUUCUUUUGUACAGUUGAAAAAUGGCAUUGUGUGGAUUUGUGGCAUGGAACUGAAAUCUACAAGUAUGCUUCUAUUCUGCGGUAACCCUCACCCUCAGUUCAUUCAUUCUCAGGAAAAGAGUGUUCCAGCGGCUAUAUACAUGGGAUAUCAUCACUCUGAGUUAACAGAACG